rnacentral:rRNA from 1 species
AGCGUAGGUGGAGCUUUAAGUCGGACUUAAAAGUGCGGGGCUCAACCCCGUGAUGGGUCCGAAACUGGAGUUCUUGAGUGUAGGAGAGGAAAGCGGAAUUCCCAGUGUAGCGGUGAAAUGCGUAGAUAUUGGGAGGAACACCAGUGGCGAAGGCGGCUUUCUGGACUAUAACUGACACUGAGGCUCGAAAGCCAGGGGAGUGAACG